GACGUAGGGCGCGAGCGUUGUCCGGAUUUAUUGGGCGUAAAGAGCUCGUAGGCGGCUUGUCGCGUCGACUGUGAAAACCCGUGGCUCAACCAUGUGGUCUGCAGUCGAUACGGGCAGGCUAGAAUUCGGUAGGGGAGACUGGAAUUCCUGGUGUAGCGGUGAAAUGCGCAGAUAUCAGGAGGAACACCGGUGGCGAAGGCGGAUCUCUGGGCCAUUACUGACGCUGAGAAGCGAAAGCAUGGGGAGCGAACAGG
rnacentral:rRNA from 1 species